CCUACGGGUGGCAGCAGUGAGGAAUAUUGGUCAAUGGCCGCAGGGCUGAACCAGCCAAGUCGCGUGAGGGAUGACGGUCCUAUGGAUUGUAAACCUCUUUUGUCAGGGAGCAAAGGGCGCCACGUGUGGCGUUUUGCGAGUACCUGAAGAAAAAGCAUCGGCUAACUCCGUGCCAGCAGCCGCGGUAAUACGGAGGAUGCGAGCGUUAUCCGGAUGUAUUGGGGUUAAGGGGUGCGCAGGCGGAAUGUCAAGUCAGCGGUAAAAUUUCGGGGCUAAACCCCGGCGAGCCGUUGAAACUGGCUGUCUUGAGAUGUCGAGAGGUAUGCGGAAUGCGCAGUGUAGCGGUGAAAUGCUUAGAUAUUGCGAAGAACUCCGAUUGCGAAGGCAGCAUACCGGCGGCGAUCUGACGCUGAGGCACGAAAGCGUGGGUAUCGAACAGGAUUAGAUACCCCUGUAGUC
rnacentral:rRNA from 1 species